UCAAUCCCAAAUUAUUCCUCUCUCCCCCUCUCUUUCUAACUUUCUCACACUAAAAACCCUAAAAUAACCCACCAAGCUCUCUUUUUUCCUUGGAUUAAAGAUCGAUGGCAGCAUCUUGAGCAUCCUUGAAGACCAACAACAAUCAUUCUCUCCUCCUCCUUGAAAGAAUCAUCCUCUUCUUUGUUACACAUUGUAAUAUCACGAUUCUCAGGGCCCGAUUGACCAAAUUGUUAGAACAGGUAAAUUACUUGCCGAGCAAACCAAGGUGAGUUCACACACUUUUCUAAAAUCAUGGGUUCCUGGUGGUUGAGAAACGGAACGAAAAAUAUUUUCCCCUUGUGUGGGACACAGAUAACACUAUCUCCUUAUGUGGGAUAUGGGUAACAUUUUCCUCUUGUGUGGAAAGCUUAGUUAAUUACUAUUUAUAUUAGAUGCAACAAGUGUACUAAACGGAACUCUAUCACGGAAGUCCCCACUUACUAUACCGAUUAGUCGCCUGGCCUGGCGAACAGAUUAUUAGUUGAUAGCGCUAUUAGGUCUCACCAACCUCACACCGUGCCUGGAUAGAAUCGGGCGUGAACUAAUAGACUUUGGCAAACCGUCAAUGAUGAUAGACAUUGAUAAACGGGGCACAACGAAACAUGAGGUCGCUAAGUGUUCGGUAUUACGCAGUUUAUUAGCUUACUUAUGGGGUAGCUCCCCAUGGCAUGAUAUAAAUGAGUAACUUCAACUUAAACAAGUUUUAUGGAAUUAAAACUGGACAACUCAUGAACUCGCCAACUUUAUGUUGAUACCCUAUUGCAAGCUUUGCAGGUACCGAGUGAUAGCUGGAGCUUGCAGCUUGGGAGUGUAGUGGACAUAUUAACCCGGGUUGGGUUUCUCUAUAAUAACUUGGAACUGUUAUUUGAACUAUUUAACUUUUGCUUCCGCUGUUAUCUUUGAACGUUGUUUUAAACUUAAGACUUUGGACUUGAACUUUAUUAGUCACUAAUCGUAUUGGUUUGGUGAAACUUUUUUAUUAUUAUAAUUGUUCAAUAUGAUUGGUGGCUUGAUCCUGGUCAGUCGCACGCCUCGCGGUAGUACACCGCAUGUAGAAUUUGAGGGUGUGACAAUGUAGAUCAUACUCGGGGAUACUGGCUCCAGAGUCUGAGGGGUCGGGCUCAUUUCGCAAACCACUACAACUCCACUAAGAGAAAUGGUGGUCGCCGGUGUCCCACCAGGAAACCGUUGACCCACAAAUGAGAAUGUGCUAAAUCGGAUUCUAAAAGCAUCCAUGGUGAUCAAUAGUGUUGCUUUAGCAGAAAUGGAAGUUCCUGAAUCGUACUACGAAUCCCUCCCAAAGCUUUAUUUGUAAGUAUUGAAGAAAAUCUCAAUUAACUGGAUCUCUGAAGAAGAUAACAGUCCUGAAGAUCACAGCAAGAUGAAGAAAAUCAGAUAGGACAACUGAAAUGCAAAGUAUCUACUACAAAGAAUCACAAGUUGAUCAAGAGUUCAUUUGGAUUAUCAGAGAAGGUCAUUUCUGAUGGAUCUGAAGAUAUUUCUAAAUAUCAUCAGUUUCUGACAAUUCUGAUCAUCAGACUUUCUGAUGAUUUGUUCACCAGAAUUUCUGAUGAAGUGGUUUAUCAGAAAUUCUGAUGAAAUCCCCACUUGUCUAAAAAUCACAACUCUAUCCUGCCACCCAUGACCGAAGCAUGACAUUAUUGGUUAUCAUGAUUACAAAUGCAACUUGAACAAUGGAUUCAAUGAAUAUGUCAAAUUGCUACUUUACGCAGGACUUAAUGCAUGAAUAAACAAUUGGUUAUUCAUGUCCACAGCCGUCUAUAAAUAGAAGGCUCGAGAGGCAGAAGAUACUUGAGUUUGAAGCUUAGCAUUCAUAUACAAACACCCAAACUCCACUGCUCUUCUCACCCACAGAAAUCAAGAUUCAUUUGUAUUAGAUAAUAAUCUUACAAUCACCUUGUUAAACUAAUUUGUUUCAAAGUGAUAUAAACUUGAUAAUUCG
rnacentral:lncRNA from 1 species